rnacentral:tRNA from 1 species
AAAGGGAGACCUAAUUCAGGUAGGAGACGAAAAAAAAGUAGUCCCUACCAGGAAUCAAUCCCAAAAGGUCGGAGCGAGGCGAAAUUGGCUUUCAAACUAGGUUCUGGGUUCAAACAAGACCUGAAUCAGGAACAAGGGCUAUUAGCUCAGGUGGUUAGAGCGCACCCCUGAUAAGGGUGAGGUCCCUGGUUCGAGUCCAGGAUGGCCCACCUGCACAGGUGGCAAAAACAAGAGAAGCGAGGAAUCAGCACCUUAUCUUAUCUAUAUAUAAGAGAGAAUGCUGGCUCUGAGUACAGAGUCCAGAGGAACCUUGAAAACUGCAUAGAGCUAGGUGAAAAAGCCAAAAAAGAAGACCGCAAG